rnacentral:rRNA from 1 species
UACGGAGGGUGCAAGCGUUAUCCGGAUUCACUGGGUUUAAAGGGUGCGUAGGCGGGUUGGUAAGUCCGUGGUGAAAUCUCCGAGCUUAACUUGGAAACUGCCAUUGAUACUAUCAGUCUUGAAUACCGUGGAGGUCAGCGGAAUAUGUCAUGUAGCGGUGAAAUGCUUAGAUAUGACAUAGAACACCAAUUGCGAAGGCAGCUGGCUACACGAAUAUUGACACUGAUGCACGAAAGCGUGGGGAUCAAACAGG